rnacentral:rRNA from 1 species
GUAGGGAAUAUUGCACAAUGGAGGAAACUCUGAUGCAGCGACGCCGCGUGAGUGAUGAAGGCCUUCGGGUCGUAAAGCUCUGUCGCAGGGGAAUAACACAAUGAAGGUACCCUAUAAGAAAGGAUCGGCUAACUUCGUGCCAGCAGCCGCGGUAAGACGAGGGAUCCUAGCGUUGUUCGGAAUCAUUGGGCGUAAAGCGGAUGUAGGUGGCUAUGUAAGUCAGAUGUGAAAGCCUGGGGCUCAACCCCAGAAGUGCAUUUGAUACUGCGUAGCUUGAGUGUCGGAGAGGUUACUAGAAUUGUUGGUGUAGUGGUGAAAUACGUAGAUAUCAACAGGAAUACCGGAGGCGAAGGCGGGUAACUGGCCGAACACUGACACUGAGAUCCGAAAGCGUGGGGAUCAAACAGGAUUAGAUACCCCAGUAGUCC